rnacentral:lncRNA from 1 species
CGGGAAGAGUGAGAGAGAUACGAGAAUCAUCAGGGGGGGAGGUCUGGACAGCGGCGGCCGGCGACUUCGAGAGCCACAGAACAGAGCAGCGACGGGGAGUGACGAGUUUGAUUGAACUCGAAUUUGAAUUAAGUUUUGAUUUAGGGCUUUAUCACAAAAGAGGAGUGGCGGGCCGCGGUGGGUGGCAGAGGAAGCAAGGACGCGGCGGGGGCAGGUGGCGAGUCGCGGCGGGGUUCUCGUCGUUGCCACGGAGGCCAGAGGGAGAAUUUGUGGGGCGGCUGAAGGUGGUGUUUUUGGGAUUUAGGAUUUUAGGGCUUACGGGAACGAAGAGAAGAAGAUUUAGG